AAAGUCGUCUCAAAAUUUUAGAACGGCCUCAUUCCAAUCCUUUCAAAAAAAGAAGAAAAAGAAGAAGAAAAUAUCAUUCGCUCCGUUUAUGGAAAUGGAGAGGGCGGCGGUUGCAUUCGUCUUCCUCUUUCUUUUCCUUGGGGAGGGCUGCUGCUGCUCGACCGAGUGGAGAAAUCUCAGCCGUCGAUCACAUCAGAGCGAGGGCUUGUGCGCCCAGCUGAUUCGACCCUUGGGCUAUCCCUGCUUCGAACACGUGGUUGAAACAAGGGAUGGUUACCUUUUAGCUGUUCAACGUAUUCCUUACGGUAAAGGUGAAAUACGGACCAAAUCACGUUCUCCAGUUUUCCUUCAGCACGGACUCUUUCAGGGAGGAGAUACUUGGUUUGCAAAUUCAGAAGAGGAAUCAUUAGGGUUCAUCCUUGCAAAUCAUGGUUUCGAUGUAUGGGUUGGGAAUGUACGCGGCACACACUGGAGCCAUGGACAUGUCUCUUUAUCUGAGAAAGAGAAGGAAUUUUGGGAUUGGAGUUGGCAGGAACUAGCACAGUAUGACCUUGUGGAUAUGAUCAACUAUGUAUAUUCGGCAACAAGUUCCAAGGUUUUCUUUGUAGGGCACUCACAGGGAACUAUAAUGGCUCUAGCUGCUUUCACCCAACCAGAGAUAGUGGAAAUGGUUGAAGCUGCUGCUCUUCUCUGCCCCAUAUCAUAUUUGGGUCACAUCAGUUCCCGUCUUGUACUCAGAGCAGUUAGCAUGCAUCUUGAUCAGAUUCUUCUGACUCUGGGCAUUCAUCAGCUUAAUUUUCGAAGUGAUACAGGUGUCCAGAUAAUCGAUUCUUUAUGUGAUGACCAUUUAGAGUGCAGCAACUUGUUAUCUUCCAUAACAGGGAAAAAUUGUUGCUUCAACAACUCGAGAGUAGAUUUUUAUCUAGAGUAUGAACCUCAUCCGUCAUCAACAAAAAACUUGAACCAUCUUUUUCAAAGUGAGAUCAAGCAGGUUUCCGUCAGCAAUCAGCCAGUGAAUAAUGCAAACUUCAUGUUUUGGCCAUCACCUUCACCUCUCAAGGCCUCAUAUGAUGUUGAAGGGUCCCCUUGUUGCCUUUUCUGUAAUGUUUAUUGCUGGUGAAAUGAUGUAACAAGCUACAUAUGCUACCGCCAUUGACGGUUCUCUAUCCACAUGGGUGGAAGGUGGAUGCUGAUUGCAAUGACAUAGACAUCUACAUCUCCCAGCUAAAUGCCAUUGGACUGAAGUCCUUGACCAACUCCAAAUCCCUGCAUCUCCAACUAGUCCCAUCUGCUUUAUCGGAGUCAUUCAAAUGCUGACGAGAUCCAAAAUGAAUCCACCAAUGCAACCCAAUAAAAUGUGGCUCUAGAAUAAUGGAUCAUCCAGUUGAUUAUAGUACAUUUUCCAUUUCAUUAGACUGUCCAUUUUCAUGGCAAUUGACUAAGUGCUUAGGGUGUUUGAUGAAGUCAAUAUUGAUUGUAGGUCAAUGAAAUGUGGACCUACAUGAUGGAUGGUCCAUAACAAUGUUCAUACUUUUUUCCAUGUAAUCAAUGUUGAAUAUCUAUUGUCCUGGCACUGAUCAUAUUGUUAAAAAUGGUUGAUCAAAGUGAUUAUUGGGAGGCUUGGCCUGCCAAAGGUCGGUGCCACACAAUUGAACCUUUCCUAGUAUAAUCAUAAUGGAUGACCCAUUUGUUGGACUUGCAUUGAAUUCUUAAUCACCUGUAAUUAUCCAAGCAUCGUUCAAAAAGUAUUUGAAAUGUUAUAUUGUUUGGAUUGAAAUAAUUUCUACUUGAAAUGCUAUGUAGAGACCAUAAA